rnacentral:rRNA from 1 species
UACGUAGGGAGCAAGCGUUGUCCGGAAUCAUUGGGCGUAAAGCGCGCGUAGGUGGCCCCAUAAGUCCGCUGUGAAAGUCAAAGGCUCAACCUUUGAAAGCCGGUGGAUACUGUGGGACUAGAGUACGGAAGAGGCGAGUGGAAUUCCUGGUGUAGCGGUGGAAUGCGCAGAUAUCAGGAGGAACACCGAUAGCGAAGGCAGCUCGCUGGGACGUUACUGACACCUGAGGCGCGAAAGCGUGGGGAGCGAACAGG